rnacentral:lncRNA from 1 species
CCUCUCAUCGGGUACUCUGCCCCCCACUGGUAGGGUGGAUACUGAGGUGGAACAAAUCUCGAGGCCUGAGUGCCUCCUUGGGACUCACCCAUAUCUCCUCCCAACCUACUCCGUCCAAAGCUACCAUCUCUACUCUGCUCAUUCUCCUCUAUUUCUCUCAUAAACCCUGACAUACCACUCUGGACAACUCCCCUUCUACUCUCAUCAACAGACCUUCUAGGGUCCCUUGAUGUACCUUCUCUGCGUAUACUAUCUGAUGUUGCCCUUUGCAGAACGGGGAGAUGAGCAUCCAUGUCCUCAUCCUCCGGCGGAGCUCCAUUCGAUCUAGCAGAUCGACGAGUUCCUCUCAUCCUGCCUCUGAAAAGCACAACAUCACACACAAUAUCAUCAAAUGAUCCAUGUGAAAACACAUGAAUCCUUAACACAUAUCAAACAUAUCAAUAAUGCACAUGCAACUCAUCAUGGCAUUUCACAUCAGCAUGCAAGACAGGACUCCACAUCCUAUCCUAGUGGACAUGAUUUUAACUUAUUGUGCUUUCCUUCCUAUACAAGACAACACCUCUUUCCGAUGUGGGAUAUCUCACCACACCGUACUCUUGAGGCCCUAUGCUCUGAUACCAAUCUGUAACGACUCGGAAACCGGUACCCCUCAGUAACGGUCCGAAC